AGUUGAUUGCCUUUGAAUCAACUCUGACUCAUGGCGACCCCAGGUACAACGGAAGGAACAUUGCCCAGUCCUGUGCUAUCUUCUUCAUGAUCCUUGGUUGGCUUGAGUCUAUUGUUCCAGCUACUACACAGAGUCACACACACACGAGGGAAGACACACAUGUGAGGAUUGCCAAGGAACAAGGAACUCCAAGGAACCAAGAACACUGGGGCUACCAACAAGGAAGGAAUCCACACAGUUGUGAUCCUGAUUUGGAAUUUGUAACCUCCAGAACUGGGAAGACUGAAAGUUACAAAAUAAAAUGCCACAAUCUCCCAUGAUCAGUGACAACACCUUUCAAAGGGUUUUUGCCAAGUUUUGCAGACUGAAAUUGAUCAAAUAUGCAAUCAAGAUGCAUUGAUAAUUUUGGUGAUUGGAGUGCAACAGUUGGAAACAAAAGAUUGGUAGUUGGAAAAUCUGGCCUUGGUGAUAGAAAUGAUGUCAGAAAUGGCAUGAUAGAAUUUUGCAAGAUGAAUGACUUCUUCCCUGCAAAUACCUUUUUUAAA